UCCAUCUGAGAGGAUCCCUGGCUGCGUGUGAAUCAUAGUGUGAAUACAUGUCUGGAGCUCUGAUGUCUAG
ensembl:snoRNA